rnacentral:misc_RNA from 1 species
AAGUCGUAACAAGGUUUCCGUAGGUGAACCUGCGGAAGGAUCAUUAACGAAUAUCUAUGGCGUUGGUUGUAGCUGGCUCCUAGGAGCAUUGUGCACGCCCGUCAUUCAUAUCUUUCCACCUGUGAACCAUUUGUAGGCUUGGAUACCCCUCGCUUUGGCAACAAAGCGGAUGCAAGGGUUGCUGCGUCGACAAGGCCGGCUCUCUUUGAAUUUCCAGGUUCUAUGUCUUUUACACACCCCAUUCGAAUGAUUUAGAAUGUAGUCAAUGGGCUUUCAUGCCUAUAAAAAACUAUACAACUUUCAGCAACGGAUCUCUUGGCUCUC